CUUAAAUGACAAAAAGUCAUUUGUGCAUGGAGUGACAGUGAAAAACCGCAUGAUCCGUCUUCACCCUGAUGGGACAGUGCUGUAUGGGCUCAGGUACUAUGGCCCUGGCCUGGAGGAGGUCUGGCACAGCUGAGAACACUGAAGUUAAAUUCCCCAUGGUGGAAGGUUUGCAGAGAGCUGGGGUUGUUCCUGCUGUUCCUGCUUGUAAAGUACUGCUGAGGAAGGUCCUGCCCAGCAGAGAUUGCUUUCCUACUGAUUAUGUGCUUGAAAUACUGGUUGGACUGGCUGUAUCACUGAGACCUUCAGACUGAAUUUCUCUCACCCCUGGACACUGAGAUUGGCUCUCACCUUGUCUAUCCAGCAGUAGCCUACACUGCUUGAGCUCAGCUGAAUAUGACGGUGAACUGAGAUCCCUGCACCAGCUUGUCAGCAUGUGAUGGGAGAGAAUGCUCUGGACAGGGUAUGCAUGCCAUCCUAAAAUAAAACAUAAAUCCUUGACAA
rnacentral:lncRNA from 1 species